GACUAUUUAGAAAAUCGUUCAAGAAGAGACAAUUUAAGAAUAAUUGGACUACCAGAAGACCAUGACAAAAGAAAAAGCCUGGACAUAAUACUAGAGGAAAUUAUCCAGGAAAACUGUCCCGAGAUCCUAGAACAAGAGGGGAAAGUGGAGAUUGAAAGAAUCCACAGAUCACCCCUUGUAUUUAAUCCCCAACUGAAAACACCAAGAAAUGUUAUAGCCAAAUUCAAAAACAAUCAGAUGAAAGAAAAGAUAUUACAAGCUGCCACGAAGAAGCCAUUCAGAUACCAUGGAAACAUGGUGAGGUUAACACAGGAUCUGACUGCAUCCACACUGAAGGACCGAAAGGCAUGGAAUAUGAUAUUCUGGAAAGCAAGGGAACCAGGUCUACAGCCAAGAAUAAAAUACCCAUCAAAACUGACUAUAUUCUUACAGGGGAAAGUAUGGUCAUUCAACACAACAGAAGAGUUCCAAGCGUUCAUAAAUAAAAGACCAGACCUGAACAGAAAAUUUGAUGUCCAACCACAGAACUCAAGAGAAUCCUCAAAAGAUGAGGAAACUGAGGCAAACAGAGGCAAAAGCAGAAGAGUGGUAAGGGCUAGGCAAUGGAGAUUAAGUGACUUGCCCACGAUCACACAAUGAGUAAGUAUAUGGGAUGGAUUUGAACUCGGGUCUUCCUGAAUCCAGGUCCAGUGCUCUAUCCAUUGUGCCAUCUGGUUAUUAUUGUUAGUUGUGCUUUUUAGGAGGCACUUGGCCAAGCCCCCUAGAGUAUUAAGUUAUCUUAGCCAAGAAGAAAGACAGCACUACCCUAGCAUUCCAUUUAGUUAAGGUGGCCUCUCUCACCUCAGAUCUGAAUGUGGGGGAGUAGAGUAGAGGGAAAGACUGCAGGCAUCCCAAAUGUAAUAGAGAGGGUAGAAGUAGGAUCCGGGUAAGGAAAGAAAUUAAUCAGCUUAGAAAUAAUGAAAUGUCUUGGAGCCUAGAAAACCAGGGCUGUUAACUCCAACCCACUAGACUGGCAUCAAAAGAAUGUCCUGGGAGCUAGUUGACUCAGUGGAUUGAGAGCCAGACCUAGAGACAGGGUUCAAAUCUGUCCUCAGAUACUUCCUAGCUAUGUGACCCUGGGUAAGUCACUUAACCCCCAUUGCCUAGCCCUUACCACACUUCUGCCUUGGAAUCAGUUCAUGGAUUUUAAGAUGGAAGGGUAAGGGUUAAAAAAAAUGUGCUAAGUCUACCUUGGGAAUGAAGGAGGGAGAAUUUCCAUCCUCAGCUGCCUCUUCUGGUUUGUUAGGCUGCCUUGGACAAUCACAAUAAUAAGGAUAAACAGUCCAGACAAUGUAAGAGCUUUUUGCUAGUGUCUUCCACUGCCCAAGAGGUCUACCCAUCAAGAGGCCUCUACUCCCACCUCAAUCAUCCUCUAUCACUAAAAUAGGAGGUGAUGGAGUUGCAACUUGAAAGGAACUUACCAAGUUUGAACACUGGACUGGGUUGAAUAAGACAAAAUUCAACUGAAAACAAUGGAAAGUCUUGCUCUUGGGUACAGAAAAAAACCAGCUUCACAAUUGUAAGAUGACAAAGCAUAGUUAUAC
rnacentral:lncRNA from 1 species